rnacentral:rRNA from 1 species
GAUGAACGCUGGCGGCGUGCCUAAUACAUGCAAGUCGAGCGAACGGACGAGAAGCUUGCUUCUCUGAUGUUAGCGGCGGACGGGUGAGUAACACGUGGAUAACCUACCUAUAAGACUGGGAUAACUUCGGUAAACCGGAGCUAAUACCGGAUAAUAUUUUGAACCUCAUGGUUCAAAAGUGAAAGACGUUCUUGCUGUCACUUAUAGAUGGAUCCGCGGUGCAUUAGCUCGUUGGUAAUGUAACGGCUUACCAAGUCAACGAUGCAUAGCCGACCUGAGAGAGUGAUCUGCCACACUGGAACUGCGACACGGUCAAGAAUGCUAAGGGAGGCAGCAGUAGGGAAUCUUCCGCAAUGGGCGAAAGCCUGACGUAGCAACGCCGCGUGAGUGAUGAAGGUCUUCGGAUCGUAAAACUCUGUUAUUAGGGAAGAACAUAUGUGUAAGUAACUGUGCACCUCUUGACGGUACCUAAUCAGAAAGGCACGGCUAACUACGUG